CCAAAGUGUCCAUCAGUUCCAGCACUUCGGUUUGGAACGACCAUUCAGUACGGUGGCCAUGAUUGUUUUCACUCCAAAUGCCCUUCAGAGGUCGAUAUAUCCCGUUUGGAAUGCACCGAAAGUCGAACAAAUAUUCUAACCAGAAUGCAUUGCUUUGGUGACCCCUGACAAGAAUGGGAGCUAUCCGAAAGAUAGAGAGUUUUGAGUACCAAAGCAAAGAAGACUGCAAAGCCCAGUACCUAAAGAAACCAAUACAAGCACAUCAAGUCCAGGUUUCUGUAGCAACAAAACAUCUAGCGGACAGUGUCAACAAGCUGCACAGAAAGUGCCUGGGUGAUGAAGAGACUUUCAAAGAAUGACACCACCAUUGAGAUGAGCCAGUAUGGUCAACCCAUACAUCAUAGUUAAGUAUGUUGAAACACCACUGGUGGCUACAACAAGAAACCAACCAACCAACACAAACCACCAGGGCAAGCCUUUCUGACAACACUUUUUGCCGGAAAACGGCAGACUUGGCCACAUGGUGAUGGAUAGUAAUGUCUACAAUGGACACGAGUGUUGUCACCGUACGACCACAACAGCUUGAAGUUGUCUAAUUCUCCCUGCUGCACUAAUAGUAGUACGGCUUUCCUCUGUGUAUACCUAUCCUUACAAGUACAAUUUUAGCAGGAUUAUUUGUGUCCCCUUCAAAAAUUGCUGUUGAGAAAUUUUUUGUUUAUUGUCCCCCCCCAACUGUUAGAUUAAAUUUACACCCCUGCUAUUGCCCUCUGUGGGGCUGGAGCUAUGGGUAUGUAGACCACUGACAGAACAGGAGGAGACAUGAGGUUCAAGUAGGUUCUUCAUGCCUUGGACCUGCAAUACAGCCUGGUUGUAGCUGUCUGGAUUUGAGAAGGAUGAAGGUCCCAGCAGUCUCUGCUCUCUCUCCGCAUUUUGCAGUUGUUUGUAGAGAUAC